rnacentral:tRNA from 1 species
UUAAUUAGUAUAUAAGUAUACUUACCUUCCAAGUAAGAGGUCUAUUGUUGAUUA